GAACGCUGGCGGCGCGUCUUAAGCAUGCAAGUCGAACGGCAAGGCAGGUGCUUGCACCUGCCCUAGAGUGGCGGACUGGUGAGUAACACGUGGGUGACAUGCCUUUUAGUGGGGAUAGCUACUAGAAAUAGUAGAUAAUACCGAAUGUGAUCAAUAUUUAUAGAUGAUGUUGAGGAAAGGAGCUAAGGCUUCGCUAAAAGAUUGGCCCGCGCCCAUUAGCUAGUUGGUAGGGUAAAGGCUUACCAAGGCGAUGAUGGGUAUCCGGCCUGAGAGGGUGAUCGGACACAUUGGGACUGAGAUACGGCCCAGACUCCUACGGGAGGCAGCAGCUAAGAAUAUUCCACAAUGGACGAAAGUCUGAUGGAGCGACGCCGCGUGGAUGAUGAAGGCCGAAAAAGGUUGUAAAAUCCUUUUACACUGGAGGAAUAAGCAGAGUAGGGAAUGACUCUGUGAUGACUGUACAGUUUGAAUAAGCAACGGCUAAUUACGUGCCAGCAGCAGC
rnacentral:rRNA from 1 species